UAAACUAGGAUUAGAUACCCUAUUAUUAAAAAUGUGAUARAAAUAACUUGAUUAUUAUUAGAAAUGAUCUUUAAAUUCAAAGAAUUUGGCGGUAAUUUAUCUUAUCAGAGGAACCUGUUUUAUAAUUGAUAGUCCACGAUAGAAAAAACUUUAAUUUAAUUUGUAUAUCUCUGUCAAGAAUGUUUUAUAAGAAAAAUUUUCAUAUCAUAUUUAAUUAUAUAUAAUGUCAGGUCAAGGUGCAGUUUAUAUUAAAGAAAAAAUGGGUUACAAUUAAUUAUGUAUUGAAUUAUUUUUUUUAAUUAAAAGUGUGAAAUUGGAUUUGAUAAUAAAUUGGUUAAAUUUAAUCAAUUGAAAUUGGCUCUAAUUUAUGUACAUAUCGCCCG
rnacentral:rRNA from 1 species